rnacentral:rRNA from 1 species
GAUGAACGCUAGCUACAGGCUUAACACAUGCAAGUCGAGGGGCAUCAGGAAGAAAGCUUGCUUUCUUUGCUGGCGACCGGCGCACGGGUGAGUAACACGUAUCCAACCUGCCCUUUACUCGGGGAUAGCCUUUCGAAAGAAAGAUUAAUACCCGAUAGCAUAAUGAUUCCGCAUGGUUUCAUUAUUAAAGGAUUCCGGUAAAGGAUGGGGAUGCGUUCCAUUAGGUUGUUGGUGAGGUAACGGCCCACCAAGCCUUCGAUGGAUAGGGGUUCUGAGAGGAAGGUCCCCCACAUUGGAACUGAGACACGGUCCAAACUCCUACGGGAGGCAGCAGUGAGGAAUAUUGGUCAAUGGGCGAGAGCCUGAACCAGCCAAGUAGCGUGAAGGAUGACUGCCCUAUGGGUUGUAAACUUCUUUUAUAAAGGAAUAAAGUCGGGUAUGGAUACCCGUUUGCAUGUACUUUAUGAAUAAGGAUCGGCUAACUCCGUG